rfam:Camelus ferus unplaced genomic scaffold scaffold978, whole genome shotgun sequence.
GAGGGUAUAGCUCAAGUGGUAGAGCACAUGCUUAGCAUACACAAGGUCCUGGGUUCAAUCCCCAGUACCUCCU